GAGGACCGAACCGACUAAUGUUGAAAAAUUAGCGGAUGACUUGUGGCUGGGGGUGAAAGGCCAAUCAAACCGGGAGAUAGCUGGUUCUCCCCGAAAGCUAUUUAGGUAGCGCCUCGUGAAUUCAUCUCCGGGGGUAGAGCACUGUUUCGGCAAGGGGGUCAUCCCGACUUACCAACCCGAUGCAAACUGCGAAUACCGGAGAAUGUUAUCACGGGAGACACACGGCGGGUGCUAACGUCCGUCGUGAAGAGGGAAACAACCCAGACCGCCAGCUAAGGUCCCAAAGUCAUGGUUAAGUGGGAAACGAUGUGGGAAGGCCCAGACAGCCAGGAUGUUGGCUUAGAAGCAGCCAUCAUUUAAAGAAAGCGUAAUAGCUCACUGGUCGAGUCGGCCUGCGCGGAAGAUGUAACGGGGCUAAACCAUGCACCGAAGCUGCGGCAGCGACGCUUAUGCGUUGUUGGGUAGGGGAGCGUUCUGUAAGCCUGCGAAGGUGUGCUGUGAGGCAUGCUGGAGGUAUCAGAAGUGCGAAUGCUGACAUAAGUAACGAUAAAGCGGGUGAAAAGCCCGCUCGCCGGAAGACCAAGGGUUCCUGUCCAACGUUAAUCGGGGCAGGGUGAGUCGACCCCUAAGGCGAGGCCGAAAGGCGUAGUCGAUGGGAAACAGGUUAAUAUUCCUGUACUUGGUGUUACUGCGAAGGGGGGACGGAGAAGGCUAUGUUGGCCGGGCGACGGUUGUCCCGGUUUAAGCGUGUAGGCUGGUUUUCCAGGCAAAUCCGGAAAAUCAAGGCUGAGGCGUGAUGACGAGGCACUACGGUGCUGAAGCAACAAAUGCCCUGCUUCCAGGAAAAGCCUCUAAGCAUCAGGUAACAUCAAAUCGUACCCCAAACCGACACAGGUGGUCAGGUAGAGAAUACCAAGGCGCUUGAGAGAACUCGGGUGAAGGAACUAGGCAAAAUGGUGCCGUAACUUCGGGAGAAGGCACGCUGAUAUGUAGGUGAAGUCCCUCGCGGAUGGAGCUGAAAUCAGUCGAAGAUACCAGCUGGCUGCAACUGUUUAUUAAAAACACAGCACUGUGCAAACACGAAAGUGGACGUAUACGGUGUGACGCCUGCCCGGUGCCGGAAGGUUAAUUGAUGGGGUUAGCGGUAACGCGAAGCUCUUGAUCGAAGCCCCGGUAAACGGCGGCCGUAACUAUAACGGUCCUAAGGUAGCGAAAUUCCUUGUCGGGUAAGUUCCGACCUGCACGAAUGGCGUAAUGAUGGCCAGGCUGUCUCCACCCGAGACUCAGUGAAAUUGAACUCGCUGUGAAGAUGCAGUGUACCCGCGGCAAGACGGAAAGACCCCGUGAACCUUUACUAUAGCUUGACACUGAACAUUGAGCCUUGAUGUGUAGGAUAGGUGGGAGGCUUUGAAGUGUGGACGCCAGUCUGCAUGGAGCCGGCCUUGAAAUACCACCCUUUAAUGUUUGAUGUUCUAACGUUGGCCCCUGAUCGGGGUUGCGGACAGUGUCUGGUGGGUAGUUUGACUGGGGCGGUCUCCUCCUAAAGAGUAACGGAGGAGCACGAAGGUUGGCUAAUCCUGGUCGGACAUCAGGAGGUUAGUGCAAUGGCAUAAGCCAGCUUGACUGCGAGCGUGACGGCGCGAGCAGGUGCGAAAGCAGGUCAUAGUGAUCCGGUGGUUCUGAAUGGAAGGGCCAUCGCUCAACGGAUAAAAGGUACUCCGGGGAUAACAGGCUGAUACCGCCCAAGAGUUCAUAUCGACGGCGGUGUUUGGCACCUCGAUGUCGGCUCAUCACAUCCUGGGGCUGAAGUAGGUCCCAAGGGUAUGGCUGUUCGCCAUUUAAAGUGGUACGCGAGCUGGGUUUAGAACGUCGUGAGACAGUUCGGUCCCUAUCUGCCGUGGGCGCUGGAGAACUGAGGGGGGCUGCUCCUAGUACGAGAGGACCGGAGUGGACGCAUCACUGGUGUUCGGGUUGUCAUGCCAAUGGCACUGCCCGGUAGCUAAAUGCGGAAGAGAUAAGUGCUGAAAGCAUCUAAGCACGAAACUUGCCCCGAGAUGAGUUCUCCCUGACUCCUUGAGAGUCCUGAAGGAACGUUGAAGACGACGACGUUGAUAGGCCGGGUGUGUAAGCGCAGCGAUGCGUUGAGCUAACCGGUACUAAUGAACCGUGAGGCUUAACCUUACAACGCCGAAG
rnacentral:rRNA from 1 species